rnacentral:misc_RNA from 1 species
CAGAGAACAUCGCCCUCACGGGUGACUCUCCAACCCUAUGUUAUUAUACCUUUGUUGCUUUGGCGAGCCGCUUCGGCCACCGGCUUACGCUGGUGAGCGCUCGCCAGAGGACCCCAACCUCUGAAUUAAGUAUCGUCUGAGUACUAUAUAAUAGUUA